AUUGAACGCUGGCGGCAGGCCUAACACAUGCAAGUCGAACGAGUGGCGGACGGGUGAGUAAUGUCUGGGAAACUGCCUGAUGGAGGGGGAUAACUACUGGAAACGGUAGCUAAUAACGCAUACUAUCAGAUGUGCUCAGUGGGGAUUAGCUAGUUGGUGGGUUAACGGCUAACCUAGGCGACGAUCCCUAGCUGGUCUGAGAGGCUGACCCGCCCCACUGGAACUGAGCCACGGUCCAUACUCCUACGGGAGGCAGCAGUGGGGAAUAUUGCACAAUGGGCGCAAGCCUGAUACAUCCAUGCCGCGUGUAUGAAGAAGGCCUUCGGGUUGUAAAGUACUUUCAGCGGGGAGGCGUUACCCGCAGAAGAAGCACCGGCUAACUCCGUGCCAGCCGCCGCGGUAAUAC
rnacentral:rRNA from 1 species